UUAAAAUAAUUUUUAGCAUUCCCCAAAGAAGGCCAGGCCAGGCCUCAGCCAAAGCGUUGCCAGAAUUCCACUCACAACUUAGUGACACCGCGUGAUGUGCUCCCUCAGCAACAGCGAAUUAUUUCUCGUGAAAUCUUCGUCUUCUUCUUCGAUCUGCAAUUUUGCUUCUUGCGAAGACGAAACCCUAGGUUAGGUUUUCAUCAAAAUUGGGUUUCAAUGGAAGGAAGCAAUACCUUCCCUCACUACGUCAGACGACGUCUCCUAAAUUUAUGGCGAAAAAGCAUAAAGAAAUCCUCAUCUUCAUCAAUCUCAUCAUCAUCAUCAUCAUCGUCUUCAGGUGCUUCUCUACCAGGUAAGUUCAUAUGUAUCUGUGUAUAUACAGUUGAUAAGUAUGAGUACUUUUGAUGUCUCCGAUGAUAUUCUACACAACCAUACUCUUGCUAAAUACAUUAACUACCCUGUUCCUUUUCACGAAGACGAUGAAUCCGGACUUGUAAAUAAGUAAUAAUGAACGAUAUUGGGAUAGUCCCAAGGACAGAACUUGCCGCAGUGGCUACUGAUGAUUAUUACAAUAUCGUUCAUUAUUAUCUAAACAAACAAUAUGGUUGAAUUAAUAUGGUUGAAUUCUCUUGGAGGUUGGAUUCUCUUGGAUUUCUCUUUUGGAUUUCGUACACUUCGAACUCUACAAUAAUUAAAAAAUGCUAUUUUCUUUUUCUUAAUAAUGUUGUAAAAAGCUGUCAUAAACAUGAGGAAGGAGGGGACCAUUAAGAGUAAAUCUAUCCAUAGCUAAAUAUACCAUGUGUAAAGUGUUGAAUGUCAAGAAUAAUCCCAUCUAUUAGGCUAAGGUUUGGAGGAGGGUUCACAAACAAAUCCAACCCCCAUACGUCCCAAGAUCCAGAUGCACUUGUAUAACUAAUCUGCCUAAUCUUUAAAUUAUUCCACAGAUCACCAUUGAAACCAUCAUGUUCGUGAAUAUCUAUCAACAGCUUAAUUAUUUUAUUAAGUAGUUCAAUAAACUACCAAGUCCAAUAAUGUUGUACUCAUGAGUCUCCCAAAUUUCGUCAAACUGAUCGAUUCGUGAAAGUUCUGUUAAAAAUUAAACAAAACCAAAUAGAUGAAGAUUAAAAUCAAACAUAUGAAGAUGAAAAUCAAACAUAUGCAGACAAAAGAAAAUAGAGGGCAAUAGUGGUUCGAAAAACAUGAAUCUAUUAACCGAGUACAAAAUCAUACAAUAAUCUUUCACAAGACUUGAGUCAAGCACCUAAUUCUUACCAUAACCAAAUAGAGGGAUUGCUUAUAGGACAUUUAUCAAGGGCUUCUCUCACAUCCUGAUAGGCUACUAGUUCUGUUGCUUCCCUCACAACUGUAGCUAAUACAACUAGUAGCCUAUCAGGAUGUGAGGGAAGCUCUUGAUAAAUGUCCUAUAAGCAAUCCCUCUAUUUGGUUAUGGUAAGAAUUAGGUGCUUGACUCAAGUCUUGUGAAAGAUUAUUGUAUAUUAUUGUAUGAUUUGUACUCGGUUAAUAGAUUCAUGUUUUUGCAAACCACUAUUGCCCUCAAUGUUCUUGUCUGCAUAUGUUUGAUUUUCAUCUUCAUAUGUUUGAUUUUAAUCUUUAUCUAUUUGGUUUUGUUUAAUUUUUAACAGAACUUUCACAAAUGGAUCACUUCGACGAAAUUUGGGAGACUCAUGAGGACAACAUUAUUGGACUUGGUAGUUUAUUUAUUUAACUACUUAAUAAAAUAAUUAAGCUGUUGAUAGAUAUUCACAAACAUGAUGGUUUCAAUGGUGAUCUGUGUAAUAAUUUAAAGAUUAGGCAGAUUAGUCGUACAACUGCAUCUGGAUCUUGGGAUGUAUGGGGGUAGAUUUAUCCUCCAAUCCUUAGCCUAAUAGAUGAGAUUAUUCUUGACGUUCAACACUUUAGACACAUGGUAUAUUUAGCUAUGGAUAGAUUUACUCUUAAUGGUCCCCUUCCUCAUGCCUUUUUACAACAUUAUGGUUUUGAUGAAGGCCAAUAUUUUUCAAUCUCCUUUUCAAGUCAUAUUACUCUUUAUGAAGUUAAGAAAAUAGCAUUUUUUAAUUAUUCUCACCCACUUUUUUUCAACAAAGUGGAUAGAGUUCACUUUAUUUAUAAAGUGUACGAAAUCCGAAAAAGAAAUCGAAGAGAAUUCAACGGUCUUGUUUGUUUAGAUAGAAGCACCCCUCUUGCGAAUAUGGAUAAUUGGCUGUACAGAAUCCAAGUAAGUAAUAAUGAACGAUAUGGGGAUAAUCAUCAGUCGCCACUGCGGCAAGUUCUGUAUUUCGUCAAUGAACAAGGACAAUCUGUUUUUCGAAGCUAUUUUAAGGUGCCAUGUGAAGUGUUAAUUACUUAAGGACUGUUUGCGAACAUGGAAGGGACAUCAAUCCAAAUAUUUCCUCUAGAAAAAUCGUCAAGGUGCUGCACCAAGUUCUCCCCGAUGUCUCGUCCAAGAUACAUUUCAUCUUAUUUACUACUUUUUUUGAUAACAUUCGUCUUAUGAAUUUGAAUGCUAACGACAUUGUCAAACUGAUGAAGCAAGGUCCUUUUGGCUACAAGGGGUUCAAACCCAAAUUAUGGCAUGGAGUGCAGUGAUUUCUUGAGGUAAUGUGUUUCCUCAAUUUUUGUAGCUGGCCAGUGUCUGAAUUCGAUGUUCAGAGUGAUUUGGAGUAACUCAAUCCAGUUUGCACAUGCUCUGUUAUAAAUUAGUUACACAUGCUCUGUUAUUGUGCCAAAAAAUAAAUAUGAUACUUUGAAUAAUCUAUUGGAAUGUCAAUUGUCCCAUAAAAAAAUGACAUCUAAUUAAAACCCAAAAUUUGGCAUUUUGAUGCACUAUCCUCCCACAAGAUUGAGGGUUCAAUUUCACAGGGGUGCAUGUGUAACCUACCAAUUGUGUUGGAUGAUUAAACUAUUCAAAUUAUUUACAUUGUUCAUGUUGUUGAACUUUUGAUGGAGAGCAGAAAGGCAUUGGAUAUAGGAGAAUUAAGGAUUUUGUACUUCUAUUAUUUAUAAUUUUUAAUUUAAUUUGGAGUUUUAUUAGGGUA